rnacentral:rRNA from 1 species
CCUACGGGUGGCAGCAGUGGGGGAUAUUGCACAAUGGGGGAAACCCUGAUGCAGCGACGCCGCGUGGGUGAAGAAGUUUUUCGGUAUGUAAAGCCCUAUCAGCAGGGAAGAAAGAAGACGGUACCUGACUAAGAAGCCCCGGCUACCUACGUGCCAGCAGCCGCGGUAAUACGUAGGGGGCGAGCGUUAUCCGGAUUCACUGGGUGUAAAGGGAGCGUAGACGGCCGUGCAAGCCAGGAGUGAAAGCCCGGGGCCCAACCCCGGGACUGCUCUUGGAACUGUGCGGCUGGAGUGCGGGAGGGGCAGGCGGAAUUCCUGGUGUAGCGGUGAAAUGCGUAGAUAUCAGGAGGAACACCGGCGGCGAAGGCGGCCUGCUGGACCGCGACUGACGUUGAGGCUCGAAAGCGUGGGGAGCGAACAGGAUUAGAUACCCGGGUAGUC